GGCGGCGGGCUUAACACAUGCAUGUCGAACGGAAAGGCCCUGCUUUUGUGGGGUGCUCGAGUGGCGAACGGGUGAGUAACACGUGAGUAACCUGCCCUUGACUUUGGGAUAACUUCAGGAAACUGGGGCUAAUACCGGAUAGGAGCUCCUGCUGCAUGGUGGGGGUUGGAAAGUUUCGGCGGUUGGGGAUGGACUCGCGGCUUAUCAGCUUGUUGGUGGGGUAGUGGCUUACCAAGGCUUUGACGGGUAGCCGACCUGAGAGGGUGACCGGCCACAUUGGGACUGAGAUACGGCCCAGACUCCUACGGGAGGCAGCAGUGGGGAAUAUUGCACAAUGGGCGGAAGCCUGAUGCAGCAACGCCGCGUGCGGGAUGACGGCCUUCGGGUUGUAAACCGCUUUCGCCUGUGACGAAGCGUGAGUGACGGUAAUGGGUAAAGAAGCACCGGCUAACUACGUGCCAGCAGCCGCGGUGAUACGUAGGGUGCGAGCGUUGUCCGGAUUUAUUGGGCGUAAAGGGCUCGUAGGUGGUUGAUCGCGUCGGAAGUGUAAUCUUGGGGCUUAACCCUGAGCGUGCUUUCGAUACGGGUUGACUUGAGGAGGGUAGGGGAGAAUGGAAUUCCUGGUGGAGCGGUGGAAUGCGCAGAUAUCAGGAGGAACACCAGUGGCGAAGGCGGUUCUCUGGGCCUUUCCUGACGCUGAGGAGCGAAAGCGUGGGGAGCGAACAGGCUUAGAUACCCUGGUAGUCCACGCUGUAAACGGUGGGUACUAGGUGUGGGGUCCAUUCCACGGGUUCCGUGCCGUAGCUAACGCUCUAAGUACCCCGCCUGGGGAGUACGGCCGCAAGGCUAAAACUCAAAGGAAUUGACGGGGCCCCGCACAAGCGGCGGAGCAUGCGGAUUAAUUCGAUGCAACGCGUAGAACCUUACCUGGGUUUGACAUGGAUCGGGAGUGCUCAGAGAUGGGUGUGCCUCUUUUGGGGUCGGUUCACAGGUGGUGCAUGCCUGUCGUCAGCUCGUGUCGUGAGAUGUUGGGUUAAGUCCCGCAACGAGCGCAACCCUUGUUCACUGUUGCCUGCACGUUAUGGUGGGGACUCAGUGGAGACCGCCGGGGUCAACUCGGAGGAAGGUGGGGAUGACGUCAAGUCCUCAUGCCCCUUAUGUCCAGGGCUUCACGCAUGCUACAAUGGCUGGUACAGAGAGUGGCGAGCCUGUGAGGGUGAGCGAAUCUCGGAAAGCCGGUCUCAGUUCGGAUUGGGGUCUGCAACUCGACCUCAUGAAGUCGGAGUCGCUAGUAAUCGCAGAUCAGCAACGCUGCGGUGAAUAAAUUCCCGGGGCU
rnacentral:rRNA from 1 species